rnacentral:misc_RNA from 1 species
GAUGAAGAACGUAGCGAAAUGCGAUAAGUAGUGUGAAUUGCAGAAUUCAGUGAAUCAUCGAAUCUUUGAACGCACAUUGCGCCCCUUGGUAUCCCGAGGGGCAUGCCUGUUCGAGCGUCAUUUCACCACUCAAGCCUGGCUUGGUGUUGGGCGACGUCCCCUUUGGGGACGCGCCUUGAAACGCUCGGCGGCGUGGCACCGGCUUUAAGCGUAGCAGAAUCUUUCGCUUUGGAAGUCGGGGCCCCGUCUGCCGGAAGACCUACUCGCAAGGUUGACCUCGGAUCAGGCAGGGAUACCCGCUGAACUUAAGCAUAUCAAUAAGCGGGGA